rnacentral:rRNA from 1 species
UACGAAGGGUGCAAGCGUUAAUCGGAAUUACUGGGCGUAAAGGGUGCGUAGGCGGUUCGUUAAGUCUGUCGUGAAAUCCCCGGGCUCAACCUGGGAAUGGCGAUGGAUACUGGCGAGCUAGAGUGUGUCAGAGGAUGGUGGAAUUCCCGGUGUAGCGGUGAAAUGUGUAGAGAUCGGGAGGAACACCGGUGGCGAAGGCAGGUCUCUGGGCAAUUCCUGACGCUGAGGCGCGAAAGCGUGGGGAGCAAACAGG